AUAUAUAUUGUAUGUAUAAUAAUAUAUAUAUUUAUAAUUAUAUAAAUAUAUAAUAUUUAUUUGAUCAGUGUUUUAUUAUAAUUUUGUUAUUUGAUUUUAUCCACACAGUUAGAUGUUCUUUGUCUUCUCAAACAAGUGAAGACAUUUAACAGACAGACAAAUGGAUGGAUUUGGGGGGUUUAUUAAGGAUAAUAUAAACUGUUAGCAAAACAAAUAAGUGUCUGCCAUUGAAGACGGAAAAACAGGAGGGGAAUAGAGGAAUUCACGACAAAGCAAAGAGAUGGGCAAUUUAAAAAUAAAUGAGAGAGAGAGGUUGGUUUACUGUAAGGAGUUGGCUUACACAGUUAUGGAGGCUGGGAAGUCCAGGAUCUACAGUUUUCAAGCUGGGGGCCUCGGGGAGCAGACAGGAUAAUUUCAGUCUGCGUCUGACAGCCUGAGAAGCAAGACUGUUGAUGUUUAAGUUCAAGUCUGAGUCUGAAAGCGGGAGAAGACCAAUGACCCAGAUACAGACAGGCAAAGAAUUCUUUCUUACUCAGGCUUUCAUUCUGCGCAGGCCCUCAGCAGAUUGGGUGAGGCCUGCCCACACGGGGAGGGCAAUCUGCUCGACUCAGCCUACUGAUUCAAACGUUGGCCUCAUCCAGAAACACCCUCACAGACACACUCAGAAAUAAUAUCUAACCUAUCUGGAUGUUCAGAGGCCCAGUCAUCACCCUCCAUUUACUUUUUUUUUUCCUUUCCUGUUUUGGUCUCUACCUUUAGAGGCUUUCCUCAGAUUUGUGGUGAUCCUUGGUUUUCCAUUCGUAUUUUAAAACAGGGAGCUAAAAACCUGCUGAGAACUUUGAGCAUCAGGGGGAGUUGACGAUGUGGGCUUCUCUGUAUGGCAAGCCACCUGUUGCCUUAUGUAACCCACGUUUUUGUAUCUUUAGGUCUCUCCAGAAAGUAUCUUCCAGUAUGUGCCUAGAAGAUACCGUCCUAGCUACCCGUGGUCUGGGAGCCAAGCCAGUGAGGAGUGGGGCGGAUCUCAGCCCUCAGUCCCCUGUGAGAAUCUCUAGCAUCGUCCUGUCUUCAGGCCGGUGCCCCAUCCCCACGGCUGCUGCUGUGCCUUUAUCCAGAGACUUGUGUUUUCAGCCGUUUAGUCUUGUUGGGGGCUUGGGGCCGUGCAGUGGUCUGGCUGUGUGAACAUGGGGAAGGGUUGGGGUUAGAGACACUCUCUAGUGACUAUCACCCAGUCCUUCUGUUUUCAGUCCCGUCUGCACCCACACUUCUGGAAACAGCUGGUACCACCAAGUACAGGCCACAGAGCCUGUGGGAGUCCUCAGCGCAGGCCGAGCUGCUCCUUGCCUUUCCUCACCCUGGGCCUCAGAUUCAGCGUGUCAUCUACGAGUCAGCGGUUACUCAUCCUUCAGUGUUCAAGCCCCGCCACGUUUUGUCGUCUCUGUGUGGUCUUGUGCGGUACAGGGUCCUUUUGCCGUCAUUUAGACGGGUUUCCAGGAGGAGCUGGAGGAAGUGCCUGUGUGUAGUCUGCACGUGGGGACUGACUGACUCGUGGGCUGGGAAGGAAAAGAUGCCGUUGUGCCGAAGCACAGCCGCCCCCAAGGACAUAUUGUUUGCGUCUUUUUCCUGCGGUAACAGCAGAGUCUAUCGCCAACAAAGCCUAAAAUAUCUACUAUCUGGUCCUUUAAGAAACAGUUUGCUGACUUCUGAUCUGAAUGACUAGUAGAAGAAUGGUUAAGCCAGUUAAGGGGCAUCACCCCAGUUUACCAGCUAUUUUUUAACUGGGAACGCGGGUUUAGUUCCUGCACCGGGAAGACGCCACAUGCCGAGGAGCAACUAAGCCCGUGCUCCACAACUGUCCUGUGCUCUGGAGCCUGCGGCCGCAACCACCGAAGCCUGCGUGCCUAGAGCCUGUGCC
ensembl:lncRNA